rnacentral:tRNA from 1 species
GCGGGUGUAGUUCAAUGGUAGAAUGUAAGCCUUCCAAGAUGAACACGUGGGUUCGAUUCCCAUCACCCGCU